UGGGGGAUAUUGCACAAUGGGGGAAACCCUGAUGCAGCGACGCCGCGUGAGGGAAGAAGGUUUUCGGAUUGUAAACCUCUGUCUUCGGUGACGAAAAUGACGGUAGCCGAGGAGGAAGCCACGGCUAACUACGUGCCAGCAGCCGCGGUAAUACGUAGGUGGCAAGCGUUGUCCGGAAUUACUGGGUGUAAAGGGAGCGUAGGCGGGAGAGCAAGUUGAAUGUGAAAACUAUGGGCUCAACUCAUAGUUGCGUUCAAAACUGCUUUUCUUGAGUGGAGUAGAGGUAAGCGGAAUUCCUAGUGUAGCGGUGAAAUGCGUAAAUAUUAGGAGGAACACCAGUGGCGAAGGCGGCUUACUGGGCUUUAACUGACGCUGAGGCUCGAAAGCGUGGGUAGCAAACAGGAUUAGAUACCC
rnacentral:rRNA from 1 species